rnacentral:misc_RNA from 1 species
AUCGCUCGCCCCCAACCAUGCAUCCCCUAAAGGAUGCUUGGUGUCGGGGCGGAGAUUGGCCUCCCGUGCCUUUGGUGCGGUUGGCCUAAACUAGAGUACCUUCGGUGGACGCACAACUAGUGGUGGUUGAAUAGACCCUCGUCUUGUGUUGUGCGUCGUAAGCUGUGAGGGAGGCCCUUGUUGAAGACCCCAAUGUGUGUCCUACGACGAUGCUUGGACC